UACAGAGGGUGCGAGCGUUAAUCGGAAUUACUGGGCGUAAAGCGCGCGUAGGCGGCUUUGCAAGUCGGGUGUGAAAUCCCCAGGCUUAACCUGGGAACUGCAUUCGAGACUGCAUUGCUAGAGUAUGGGAGAGGGAAGUGGAAUUUCCGGUGUAGCGGUGAAAUGCGUAGAGAUCGGGAGGAACACCAGAGGCGAAGGCGGCUAGCUGGAUAGGCACUGACACUGAACUACGAAAGCGUGGGGAGCAAACAGG
rnacentral:rRNA from 1 species